GACAGAGGAUGCAAGCGUUAUCCGGAAUGAUUGGGCGUAAAGCGUCUGUAGGUGGCUUUUCAAGUCCGCCGUCAAAUCCCAGGGCUCAACCCCGGACAGGCGGUGGAAACUACCAAGCUGGAGUACGGUAGGGGCAGAGGGAAUUUCCGGUGGAGCGGUGGAAAUGCGCAGAUAUCAGGAGGAACACCAAUGGCGAGGGCAGCUCGCUGGGACGGUACUGACGCUGAGGCGCGAAAGCGUGGGGAGCAAACAGG
rnacentral:rRNA from 1 species